CCUACGGGUGGCUGCAGUGGGGAAUAUUGGACAAUGGGCGAAAGCCUGAUCCAGCCAUGCCGCGUGUGUGAAGAAGGCCUUCGGGUUGUAAAGCACUUUCAGUGGGGAAGAAAGCCUUGGGGCUAAUACCCUCGAGGAAGGACAUCACCCACAGAAGAAGCACCGGCUAACUCCGUGCCAGCAGCCGCGGUAAUACGGAGGGUGCGAGCGUUAAUCGGAAUUACUGGGCGUAAAGCGCGCGUAGGCGGUCUGAUAAGCCGGUUGUGAAAGCCCCGGGCUCAACCUGGGAACGGCAUCCGGAACUGUCAGGCUAGAGUGCAGGAGAGGAAGGUAGAAUUCCCGGUGUAGCGGUGAAAUGCGUAGAGAUCGGGAGGAAUACCAGUGGCGAAGGCGGCCUUCUGGACUGACACUGACGCUGAGGUGCGAAAGCGUGGGUAGCAAGCAGGAUUAGAUACCCUGGUAGUC
rnacentral:rRNA from 1 species